rnacentral:rRNA from 1 species
UACGGAGGGGGCUAGCGUUGUUCGGAAUUACUGGGCGUAAAGCGCGCGUAGGCGGACCUGCAAGUCGGGGGUGAAAGCCCGAGGCUCAACCUCGGAACUGCCUUCGAUACUGCGGGUCUCGAGUCCGGGAGAGGUGAGUGGAAUUCCUAGUGUAGAGGUGAAAUUCGUAGAUAUCAGGAGGAACACCGGUGGCGAAGGCGGCUGCCUGGACAUCCACUGACGCUGAGACGCGAAAGCGUGGGGAGCAAACAGG